rnacentral:lncRNA from 1 species
GACUGCCAUGGCCAAUCGUGGUAUCACCCAGGACAGCAUUGAGGAGGCCAGGGCAGUGCCAGAGCUGUGCAUGCUGAAUGACCUCCAGAACCUCCUGCAUGCUGGGGCCAACCUCAAUGACCCUUUGGAUCAUGGGGCCACUCUGGUGAGAACUCAGUCACUUGGGGAUGUUUGUCCUGGGGCAGGUACUUGGAAGGGGUUCAGGGAUUCAGGGCUGAGUGGUCUGCCCGCAGCUGCACAUCGCUGCUGCUAAUGGGUUCAGUGAGGUGGCUACCCUGCUACUGGAGCAAGGAGCUAGCCUGAGCGCUAAGGACCAUGAUGGCUGGGAGCCUCUGCAUGCUGCAGCUUACUGGGGCCAGGUGAGUACACAGGAGCAGGGAGAGGGUAGGUUCCUGGCUCUAGCUAGAGCCCUCAGCCAAGCAGCUGCUGCUGGCUGCCUGCAGGUACACCUGGUAGAAUUGCUUGUGGCACAUGGGGCUGAUCUGAAUGGAAAAUCUCUGAUGGACGAGACACCCCUUGAUGUGUGUGGUGAUGAGGAGGUACGAGCCAAACUGCUGGAGCUCAAGCACAAACAGGAUGCACUCCUGCGUGCCCAGGGCCGCCAGCGCUCCCUGCUGCGCCGCCGCACCUCUAGUGCAGGCAGCCGCGGGAAGGUGGUGAGGCGAGUGAGCCUGACACAUCGCACCAACCUGUAUCGCAAGGAGCAUGCCCAAGAGGCCAUUGUGUGGCAACAGCCACCAGUCACCAGUCCAGAACCUCUCGAGGAUGAGGACAGGCAGAC